rnacentral:rRNA from 1 species
CUACGGGAGGCACCAGUGGGGAAUCUUAGACAAUGGGCGCAAGCCUGAUCUAGCCAUGCCGCGUGAGUGAUGAAGGCCUUAGGGUCGUAAAGCUCUUCCUCCAGGGACGAUAAUGCCAGUACCUGGUAAAGAAACCCCGGCUAACUCCGUGCCAGCAGCCGCGGUAAUACGGAGGGGGUUAGCGUUGUUCGGAAUUACUGGGCGUAAAGCGCGCGUAGGCGGAUUAGUCAGUCAGAGGUGAAAUCCCGGGGCUCAACCCCGGAACUGCCUUUGAUACUGCUAGACUAGAGUUCGAGAGAGGUGAGUGGAAUUCCGAGUGUAUAGGUGAAAUUCGUAGAUAUUCGGAGGAACACCAGUGGCGAAGGCGGCUCCCUGGCUCGAUACUGACGCUGAGGUGCGAAAGUGUGGGGAGCAAACAGGAUUAGAUACCCUGGUAGUCCACACCGUAAACCGAUGAAGGCCAGUCGUCGGGCAGCAUGCUGCUCGGUGUCACACCUAACGCAUUAAGCAUUCCGCCC